rnacentral:rRNA from 1 species
AAAGAUUAAGCCAUGCAUGUCUAAGUAUAAACAACUUUAUACUGUGAAACUGCGUACAGCUCAUUAUAUCAGCAAUAAUUUAUUUGAUGGUCUCUUACUACUUGGAUACCCGUAGUAAUUCUAGAGCUAAUACAUGCACAAAACCUGGACUCUUGCGGGAACGGGUGUAUUUAUUAGAUAAAAAACCAAUACGAUCCUCUGGGUCGGUUUCUUGGUGAUUCAUAAUAACUUUUCGGAUCGCAUGGCCUCGCGCCGGCGACAGUUCAUUCAAAUUUCUGCCCUAUCAGCUUUCGACGGUAGUGUAGUGGACUACCGUGGCGUUAACGGGUGACGGAGAAUUAGGGUUCGAUUCCGGAGAGGGGGCCUGAGAAAUGGCCACCACAUCCAAGGAAGGCAGCAGGCGCGCAAAUUACCCAAUCCUGACACAGUGAGGUAGUGACAAGAAAUAACCAUACUGGGCCAUCACGGUCUGGUAAUGGGAAUGAGUGUAAUUUAAAUCCCUAUGCGAGGAUCCACUGGAGGGCAAGUCUGGUGCCAGCAGCCGCGGUAAUUCCAGCUCCAGUAGCGUAUAUUAAAGUUGUUGCAGUUAAAAAGCUCGUAGUUGGAUUUCUGACUAACCCAGAUAGCCCGGUCGCUCUUAGCUUCUGAGUGCUGUCUGUGCGUUUGUCAUCCUUCCAGAAAGUUGUGCCUACCGCUUCCGCGGCCGGGCGCUUCGAUCUGGUUCUUUUACUUUGAAAAAAUUAGAGUGUUUCAAGCAGACUUACGUCUUGAAUACAUUAGCAUGGAAUAAUAAUAUAGGACUUUGGUUCUAUUUUGUUGGUUUCUAGGACUGAAGUAAUGAUUGAUAGGGAUAGUUGGGGGUGCUAGUAUUCAGCGGCCAGAGGUGAAAUUCUUGGAUUCGCUGAAGACUAACUACUGCGAAAGCAUUCACCAAGGAUGUCUUCUUUAAUCAAGAACGAAAGUUGGGGGAUCGAAGACGAUCAGAUACCGUCGUAGUCUCAACCAUAAACUAUACCGACUAAGGAUCAGUGAAAGUCUACAUUUUCGACUUCAUUGGCACUUUAUGAGAAAUCAAAGUCUUUGGGUUCCGGGGGGAGUAUGGUCGCAAGGCUGAAA